rnacentral:rRNA from 1 species
UACGGAGGAUGCGAGCGUUAUUCGGAUUUAUUGGGUUUAAAGGGUGCGUAGGCGGGCUGUUAAGUCAGCGGUCAAAUGUCGGGGCUCAACCCCGGCCUGCCGUUGAAACUGGCUGUCUUGAGAUGUCGAGAGGUAUGCGGAAUGCGCAGUGUAGCGGUGAAAUGCUUAGAUAUUGCGCAGAACCCCGAUUGCGAAGGCAGCGUACCGGCUCUACACUGACGCUGAGGCACGAAAGCGUGGGUAUCGAACAGG